rnacentral:tRNA from 1 species
GGUUUAAUGGUCUAGUUGGUUAUGACAUCUGUCUAACACACAGAAGGUCUCCAGUUCAAGUCUGGGUUGAAUCU